rnacentral:lncRNA from 1 species
AUGAAUUAAAGAAGAUCAACGGACAAAAAUUAUCAAGAGAUGUGUGAAAAGUAAAAUAGGGUGUGUGGAUAGCACACCCCUAUAUUAAAUUAUCAACUAAUGCAUAAUAAUACAAGUCCUACAACUGUGAAUUAAUACUUAGUUACACGCUAACGCUAUACAAUCAAUAACUAUAAAAUAAUGCUUAGUUUGGUGGUGCUUGAAUAUUGAGUUUGCCUCGGAUGACUAGUCUUGUAAAGAGUUGGUGAACAUUAAUAAAAGAUAAAAAGUAAUCGAUUAUGUCAACCAAUGUGUCUCUUCCUUCAAAAUAUGAUGAAUAUUAAGAGUAGGUGCAACGAAGAAAAGAUGCAAACCAAAAAAAUAACUAAAGAUGCUAUUAAUAUCAAACAAUGUUUCUUACUCGGCAGUGUUGUAUCUUUGGAAGACCAAGGUAUCGUUUGAUAUGAAAACGGG